CCCCCUUCUGGGGUCAUGUGACAGGCGGCGCGCCAAGAUGGCGGCGUCCUGCGAGGAGUUGCAGUAGCAUGGAAGGGAAUUCUUCCUAAUGGCCACCUGAGCACAUUGUGACUCUGAGAUUCUGCAGCCUGAGGUGGUGCCUUUGGCUUCCAUCACGUGGAAGGUGAAUGCGUGGCGGGAAGACUCCGAGC